rnacentral:rRNA from 2 species
GUCGAGCGCAUCCUUCGGGAUGAGCGGCGGACGGGUGAGUAACGCGUGGGAAUGUGCCCUUCUCUACGGAAUAGCCACUGGAAACGGUGAGUAAUACCGUAUACGCCCUUAGGGGGAAAGAUUUAUCGGAGAAGGAUCAGCCCGCGUUAGAUUAGGUAGUUGGUGGGGUAACGGCCUACCAAGCCUACGAUCUAUAGCUGGUUUUAGAGGAUGAUCAGCCACACUGGGACUGAGACACGGCCCAGACUCCUACGGGAGGCAGCAGUAGGGAAUCUUGGACAAUGGGGGAAACCCUGAUCCAGCCAUGCCGCGUGAGUGAAGAAGGCCUUAGGGUCGUAAAGCUCUUUCGCCUGUGAUGAUAAUGACAGUAGCAGGUAAAGAAACCCCGGCUAACUCCGUGCCAGCAGCCGCGGUAAUACGGAGGGGGUUAGCGUUGUUCGGAAUUACUGGGCGUAAAGCGCGCGUAGGCGGAUUGGAAAGUUGGGGGUGAAAUCCCGGGGCUCAACCCCGGAACUGCCUCCAAAACUGCCAGUCUAGAGUUCGAGAGAGGUGAGUGGAACUCCAAGUGUAGAGGUGAAAUUCGUAGAUAUUUGGAAGAACACCAGUGGCGAAGGCGGCUCACUGGCUCGAUACUGACGCUGAGGUGCGAAAGUGUGGGGAGCAAACAGGAUUAGAUACCCUGGUAGUCCACACCGUAAACGAUGAAUGCCAGUCGUCGGGUAGUAUACUAUUCGGUGACACACCUAACGGA